CCGGGCGUGGGGUGACUUGGCCCAGCGGUCUCCGAGCGAGUCAUGGACCUGGGCAGAGUCCUGCUAGCCGGUCCUGCGCGGGGGCCCCUUGGAGCGACAACAUGGAGCGGGUCACGGGGCGACCCUGAGCGUCCGCGGGGUGCGGGCUGGUUUCAGGCCAGGAGCCGAGGAAGGGUGCUGGCGAGGGCUCCCGCGCUUCGGGGUGUAGCGAGCAAGGAGAGUGGAGAGACCACGAAGCCAGACGCUCGGGCAGCGACAGGAGCGUCCAGUGGGCAUUGGAUGCAACCCCAGCGGUGUGGAGCGACUCGCGUGCUUUCGGGGGCGAGAGCCGGGCGAAGUGAAAAAAGUUACAGACACUGGAAGGGCGGCAGGCCCAAGAGAGACCCGUGGCUCUUUGGAAGUUAGGUCCCUACACUCCUGCAAAAAGAUGGGGCCCUAUCUCCAGGAGCUGCUGGAGCAAGUCCUGCGCUCUUGCAAGGCUCCAGAGGGUCACCCUCCCCUCCAGAGGAACAAGGGCGCAUCUUCUGGCACUGAAGAGCAAAGGAACCGAGAAAGUCCCCCUUACCCGGUCCUGCUGCCUGCCGACUGGACUGUCCGAAGGAGCCUGUGGCAGCUAGCGUUCAGCCUGAGUUCUCUUCCUGGCAGGCCCACUAGUGCCCAGGCCCUGACUCCUGGUGCCUCUGUGGGUAGCUGUAGGGUCUGAGAACAGACGUGGGCCCUUUGGUCUGCCAUUUGCAGGGCCUAUGGACAAGGUUGUGCAGCCCCAACCCAUACACACACGUCCAAAGUGCAGGCUGCAGUACUCAACUCCCAUGAAGCCUUAGACAUGAGCCACUGCAUCACACAGAUACAAACGGGAACUCAGCCAUGCCCUGGUGUUGAGAUAAGGUAUUGUGGCACAGGACUCACCUGCAGGCUGACCCCCUUGCUCCAGCUCUGGUCCUGUUUCCACAGCCUCCAGGUCUCCACAGAACAUCAGGGAUACUCAUAGUCAAUUGCACCUGGUCUGAAUCCGGCGAGAAAAAGGCUCCCAAGUUCAGGCAUCCUCAAUAAAAAGCAUGAAGGAUGGGCAAGGGGAUAAAGCCCUAGGUCCAGGAAGGACCUCUAAGGCAAGACAGCAAGGUCUGCAGGUACAGACUCCCCACUGUGAUCAGCCACAAGCAUCAUGCUUCCCACAGCAGCAGUGACUGAUCCAGGGCUUCCAAAUAGAUUACCUUUCAUCCAAACACCACAUGUGAGGCCUACUGGGUCCUGUGCAAGGAAGGUGUAGAAUCCCGCAGGGCCCAGAGGAGAUGCCCUGCUCCAUGAUGUUCACUGCCAGACCACCAGGAACCCUUGGGAAGCACCCAAUUGGGCAGUGGCCAAACCCCUCUGGCUGUGGGGAGGAGAAUGGUGACUUCUCUAGCCCUGGAUCCACCUGUCUCACUGGGACACAAGCCCCAAAACUGCCUACCUCCCCAGCAUCUCUUACAUUCCUAUAGCACAUGCCACCAGAGCUCUUUGGAUUCCACAGAUUUGGAAUGUGGGCCACUUUUCAAAAAAAAAAAAGUCUGCAUUUAUUAUACUGCAAUCAAUAUACAAAUUUAUUCAAAACAUGCAAGUAUAU
rnacentral:lncRNA from 1 species